rnacentral:pre_miRNA from 1 species
GUAAGUUGGCUGCGAUUUGAAUACUUCAAUUCUAUUGAAAUCAUGUCAAACUUACAG